AAAAUAACAGUCUUCACUUUUAAUGACGCCAAAGACACGACAACAUCUUCAAUCCCAGUGGUAGGCACUCCAUUUUUUUUGUUUUCUGUUUUAAGCCUUUCCCAAACCUUAACCACUCGGAAUUAAUACCUAAACUGAAGUUUAACCCUAACCUUAACCAUUCGGAAUGAAUGCCUAAACGUACGUUUUAGUUGAACCUUUGUAGAGUUUUUGACUGACAGCUAAGAUACGACGCAACAUGGCGUAAUUAAAACAUCAAGCCAUUGCGUAAUUCUGUUACUGCAGUUACGCAACUGUUUGAUGUUUUAUUUGGAGAUUGGGAUUUUUUUUUUUUAACAGUGUGCAUAACUGCAUUUUUUAUUUGAGAGCAGUAUGAUAUCGGCAUGCCAGACUUUGUCAGUGGAAUGUAGAAGUGAGAAAUGACCCUUGUGUUCAACACCUCCCCUGCUCAGAGGCAACACCAUCACUUGGUUUCCUGACUCUCACACCUCAUCACUACUUCAUCUGACAACUAGGUUAAUCAAUACGCUUCUGGCUUUAAAGAUCACUUAUCUCUUUUUUUUACGAGGUCAUCUAAACACAGUUCAAGUUUUUAAAAUAACUGGAGUUGGAAGACUGUUGUUUGAAUGGACAUGGAGGCUGUGUUUGUACUAGUGUUGGUGAUGUUAGCAGCAGUGUCCCAUGCUGAUGACCAAUGCAAGUGGAUGUGAACUGCUGUUUAAAAAGAACCUCACUGACGGUCCGACACUGAUAUUCUCACUGAAAAGAAACAAGGUGACCUUCAAGAGACCCACUGAAGACAGAUCACAGUUCUUUAUGAACAACGGGACCUUUAGGUUAACCAACGUGGAGAGGGCUGAUUCUGGGAAAUACUUCUUGGAGAUCUACGAUUCCGGAGGGGAACAUUUGGGAACCAGACGAGUACAACUGGACAUUGAAGGCAAGUAACAUCAUAAGACAAUUUCAUUCAUACCCUAUCUAUCUAAAUGACCAAAUGCAAAUCAAAUGGAAUAAGUUGGGAGCAGAACAAAGUAGCCAUACUGCCCAGUAAAAUCCAAAACACACCAAAUUCUAUGUAAAAUGUGCCGAAUACAACAGGUGUAGUAGACCUUACAGUGAAAUGCUUACUUACAAGCAAUAACCAAAAAUGCAGUAAAUAAAAAAUAAUAAUAAUUAUAAUAAUAAGAAAGAAUAAUAAAUAAUAGUAACAAAUAAUCAGUUACACUGAUAGUGACUACUUCCUCAGACACAGUAACCAUUUCCUUAAACAGUUGGAAAUACAGUAAGAUUGAAACAAAUUGUGUAACAUAGCUGAUUACAAUAUACUUAGCAUGUGUGGCAACCCUUAACAUUUAAGGUUCUGCAAAUGUAGGCCUAUGUGUACAAGCGGCUUAACGGUCAUGGAAUCAUUGAAUGCAAACAAUAAUUACUGGAUUUCAUUGAAAGAGUAAUUUACACAUCCAGUUUGGGAUUGUAGAAUCAGGGAGACGUUCUCAUAAAGGAAGUCGUAAGCCCUGUAUGUACUGUAUGUGCUUCUGCAGUUGGCACUUUCAGUAGAUUAGUGUUGUUGCCUGGUAACCGUGACCUGGAUUUGGUCAGGUGUCCUCAUCAGCUAUAAAUAAAUGUUGUGUGUAGUGAUUUACCAUUAAUGCUCAUAACCUCUCCAACAUGUUACCUCUCUUCUACCCAGGGCUAUGUCCACCCAUGGUGCUCAUUUUAGGGUCAGUGUCAGCUGGUGGUGUCAUCCUAGCAGUGAUGCUGGUAGGCUGCUGUAUUGGGAGGAGAAGGAGAAUAUUCAACACCACAGGUUAGAACAAAGCAGGCGCCCCACCCAUAAUGUUACCAUAGGUUUAUCAAUGAGGGCUACAGCACAGGGCAGGUGUGUGUGUCACCAAUACCUAAGAUUAAACUGUCAUUAAAUCACUGAUUUCACUCUCAUCUCACAUUGUUAGGUGCAGAACUCAAAGGACUUCAGCCUUCAGAAUGAGGAAGGAGGCGAUCAAACCUGUGGAAACCUAUAACGGAGAGGAGAUAGAGGUUGUGGAGGCUGCUCAGGGGAGGACGGCUCAUAGUAAUGGCUGGAAUGGAGUUAAUGGAAUGGUAUCAAACGUGGUUUCCAUGUGGUUAAUAUAAUUCCAUUGACUCCAUUCCAGCCAUUAAUAUGAGCCGUCCUUCCCUCAGCAACCUCCACUGUUGUGGAGGCAUUAGUGGACCUAUAGUAGCAGACAGAGGUUAUUGAUAAGAAACUUGAAUGGAAAGAACAUAUUGAUUGAUUUAUUGUGCUCCAACCAGAGACCACAUUACAUACAGGCAGUUAACCCACUGUUCCUAGGCCGUCAUUGAAAAUAAGAAUUUGUUCUUAACUGACUUGCCUAGUUAAAUAAAGGUAAAAUAAAUAAAUAAAUAAAUAAAAUACAUGAAUACAUUAUCGAGGAUAAAAACACAAAGCCCGGAGUCUUAUUUCCAUUGGGGUCUUCUUUUGGCAGUGAGAUGGCAGACACUUUUCAUGCACUCAAUGCAAUGAAAAUGAAGAACAGUAGCCAUUUCCAACCAUUUCCAACCAUUUCCAUUUAAAACAAUUUAGAACAAUAUCAACAGCACAGAGGUCCCGUUUGAGUCACCUCGUCAAAGAAUACCCUUAAUCAAAUGGACAUGUUAUUUCUCAGGUAUGUUUUUAGUGACACCUUAAAGCAAUUCUAUGAUGACAGAGUAUUCAGGUAGCUUGGUAAAACUGUUCCAUAGAACUGCAGCAGAAUACAGGAAAUAGUUUUCCACCAUGGAGCUCUUGAAUCUACAGGGAACAAAGUUUCCUCUGGUGGAAUACUGAUUGGUGUCAUUUAUACGGCUAAAAUAAUGUUGUUGUCAAACCCCAAUUUAAACUGGGUGACUUUAGUUUCCACCUUGAGCCGUUUCAGUUCAUCAAAGUGAGAUGGUUCAAGAUGAAUAUUAGGUGGACGUUUCAGAAUAAUCUUGGCUCUUAUUCUGAGAGGUCAUAGGAUUGUUCUUUAUACCUUUAGGGGAACCGCUGUACCAAGAGGCACAACAAUAAUCAAAAUGACACUGCAUACCAGUACCUAUUUCCUUUGUUCUUUCAUUGUAUGCAUCCAUUGACUUCUAAUAAGUAUUUCUUAUGGCAUUGGCUGGUUUCUAUCAGUUUUAUCAGUUAUUUUGCCAGCUAUGAAUUGGCAGUGGCGUUAAAUUACAUGAAUUACAUUCCCUCCAUAAAUGGAAACUAAUUGUAUUUUAAUACUUUUUUUUUCAUGAGAAAUAAACAAUGAAUCUGUAUCACUUUUUCCAAAUGAAGAAGAUAUUAAACCUCACACUUUUUGUAUGGGUUCCUCUUUUCAGAGAAGAAGUGAUAUUUAAUGUCAAACGUACUGUAUAUUAGUAAUUAUAUUAGUUCAUUUUACUCAAAAAGAAACAACCGGUACCGUUCAGACAGUUCUCUAAACUACAGACUGGAACAACUCUUAGAUGCUCAGACUGUACGCAGCCAGAUAGAGUGCCUUCGGAAAGUAUUCAGACCACUUGACAUUCUUACGUUACAGCCUCAUUCUAAAACGUAUUAAAACUGUUUUUUUCCCCUCAUCAAUCUAUACACAAUAUCCCAC
rnacentral:lncRNA from 1 species